UUCAUCUCCUGUGAACUUUAGGCCUAUUUCCAGUAUUCUUAAUGGCGGGAUUAGACAGGAUUAUUCAGUAAGGUUCACCUAGGACUCAGCUCUUAGACCAGUUAAGUUUACAAUGCACUCGCAGACUUGGACCCUUUUUCAAUUAGUGCAUUCACAUUCACACCACAGACACAACUGGAUCCAUGUUUGAUUCGUUCAAUGGUUAUCCCACAGUAAACAGGAUGACGUAGAACCAUUUCAGAGCUCGACUUGUGGACCAGACUAUUAGCUGGGUAGCUAGUUAGCUAUACAGCUCCAGGUGGCCAGUUUUGGUGUUAAGACUGCUACAGAGUGUACCUGUCAAACCAGUUCCCAGGGAUUGUGUCCUGAACACAUCCACAUAGCUAGAACCCACCAUGAACACCUCCUUGCCAACAGAACCAACUUCUUCCUUUCCGGUCAUGCUUUCUCUUAUGGAAGUAACAGCCCAGAAGUGAGUCCCAUUGGCAGGCCUUCGACUGCUGUACCCACACCUAUACUGAACAACACAAGUGGAGACCUAAACUGUUGGCAGUGACACUGCUACCACGGUCAGGAUGUCUGGAAUUAAGAUGAGGGAAGUGGAGGCACAAAUUGGUGGUUUAAUAAAUGUUCAAAGAAACAUAAUUUCUGCUGGUUUUGUGAAGUCAAAUUUGUCUUCAGUGACUCAAAAUGUAUUCCAUAUUAAUAAAUAUGUUUCUUUGCCAAUACAA